rnacentral:rRNA from 1 species
GACGAACGCUGGCGGCGUGCUUAACACAUGCAAGUCGAACGAUGAAGCCGGAGCUUGCUCUGGUGAAUUAGUGGCGGACGGGUGAGUAACACGUGAGUAACCUGCCCUUGACUCUGGGAUAACUGCGGGAAACUGUAGCUAAUACCGGAUACGACCCUCGGAGGCAUCUCCUGGGGGUGGAAAGAAUUUCGGUCAAGGAUGGACUCGCGGCCUAUCAGCUAGUUGGUGAGGUAACGGCUCACCAGGGCGACGACGGGUAGCCGGCCUGAGAGGGUGACCGGCCACACUGGGACUGAGACACGGCCCAGACUCCUACGGGAGGCAGCAGUGGGGAAUAUUGCACAAUGGGCGCAAGCCUGAUGCAGCAACGCCGCGUGAGGGAUGACGGCCUUCGGGUUGUAAACCUCUUUUAGCAGGGAAGAAGCGAAAGUGACGGUACCUGCAGAAAAAGCACCGGCUAACUACGUGCCAGCAGCCGCAGUAA